AAAAAUAACAGAAAGGAUUUUUGUUUAACACCCAUUCUUCAACUUCUGUUUUAUCUAUCGCAUCACCAGCACGAUUCAUUCUGUUCACUAAUUCGACUAGAUCAAUUCACUCAAUCAAUUUUGACUCAAUCAAUCAAAGACUAGAUUCUUUUUGUAAAUUACCCAGUCAGAGGUCUCAAAAGAAGUUGACCCUACGACUUUUUCACCAACAUUGUAAAAUGUUUUCAUCUUGUAAAAGUACCUUGCAGCAAUCUUUUACGAUAUUUAAUACAUACAUCAAUCAGCGUACUGAAAACAAUUAAACGGCGCAGAGAGCAGAUCGGAUACCAAAAUUCAGGUGUUCAGAUUAUACAUAUCAUAUCAUUUUACACAAUUGAUCAAUUCGGAUUAUAGAGUAUGUAGUUCGGAUUAUAGGGAGUACGGACUAUUCAUACAAUAUGUAAUGUAUUUUACAAAAGUAUACAAGGUGCGUAUACAUAUUUUUGCACCUUGUGAGUUUGAUAAUGUUGGAAAUACCAGUUUUAAAUAGUCCCACGGACUUUCAAUAAAAAUCCAUUGAAUUCGAGUAGUUAUCCGAAUAUCGGAGCAUUCAGCUCCAAAUCCACAGCGUUGCUUGCGAUGUCAGUUUGAUGAUAAGUUUAUAUCUGAUACUUUCAUACAUAUCGACCGUUAGAAACCAGCGCAAAUCGGCUGGCGUUUGCUGCUUAGGCGCACGGCCCCACUACUUACCUCCCCUACACUACUUCUAACUUGUGUGUUUGUUUCGGGAGAAAACCGCAUGAUGACGCUAGCUUGCGGCUGCAUAUCGCUGGACCGCUUCGCCUAUACUCAUCGGCGAUCUCUCUACUAAUCUCUGCAAAGUCCGCAGCGCCGACCGGAGCAGCGCAGAAGCUACAGUCCGGAUGAACAGUGCGUCGAGCGACGCAGAAACAGCUUCGACCGCGAAGCUCCGAGACAGCCAGCCACUCAGUACUAUGACACAUCCUCUUCAGCUACUAACUCAUUUGAGGAGCCGAAAUCAUGCGACAGUCAAAACACGUAUCGAGAGGCGAAAAUUGUCACUAGCCAAUCAGCUAGCUGCAUAAAGGAAUACACAAACGGCGAUCGCUACAUCCAAACGCAACAAUACAAAGAGAGCAGCGAAGUGUCGUCCACGCACGGCCUGGACAAGCGCUAUUCGUGCUCUGCGGCAGUUCAUCGGCCGCCCUUUACGCGACGCCCAGUCACCCGAAACUCCAACAUCCUGUCAGCCGUACUUUGCUUGGUCAAGGAGCUGGACUACCCCAGCUUGGAGGUGGUGGAGAUGGCCGUCAGGUGUCGCAUGGAUGAGCUGGACGAAUGACAUCAUCCCACCGAGGAUGGCGGCAAUUCAAAAACCAAUAUUUCCGACUCAAGCAGCCUUACAUGUGCACUGCCAAUGCUCCCACCCUCUUAGCUUGCCCAAAAGGACUGUACAAGUGGUCCAGUCAGUCGAAUUUUAAUGUACAUAUAGGACUUGAUAAUACUUAACUUAACGCUCAUUGGGGGCUGUCAGAAUAACCCGCCCCCCUAAGCUUUAACUGAUGUGCAAUAGACAGUGCUGUCGAACAAA
rnacentral:lncRNA from 1 species